rnacentral:rRNA from 1 species
AUUGAACGCUGGCGGCAGGCCUAACACAUGCAAGUCGAACGAGUGGCGGACGGGUGCGUAAUGUCUGGGAAACUGCCCGCUGGAGGGGGAUAACUACUGGACACGGUAGCUAAUACCGCAUACCAUCGGAUGUGCCCAGAUGGGAUUAGCUCGUAGGGGGGGUAACGGCUCACCUAGGCGACGAUCCCUAGCUGGUCUGAGAGGAUGACCAGCAACACUGGAACUGAGACACGGUCCAGACGCCUACGGGAGGCAGCAGUGGGGAAUAGUGCACAAUGGGCGCAAGCCUGAUGCAGCCAUGCCGCGUGUAUGAAGAAGGCCUUCGGGUUGUAAAGUACUUUCAGCGAGGAGGCGUUACUCGCAGAAGAAGCACCGGCUAACUCCGUGCCAGCAGCCGCGGUAAUUC